rnacentral:rRNA from 1 species
UGGGGAAUUUUGGACAAUGGGGGAAACCCUGAUCCAGCCAUCCCGCGUGUGCGAUGAAGGCCUUCGGGUUGUAAAGCACUUUUGGCAGGAAAGAAACGUCGCGGGUUAAUACCCCGCGAAACUGACGGUACCUGCAGAAUAAGCACCGGCUAACUACGUGCCAGCAGCCGCGGUAAUACGUAGGGUGCAAGCGUUAAUCGGAAUUACUGGGCGUAAAGCGUGCGCAGGCGGUUCGGAAAGAAAGAUGUGAAAUCCCAGAGCUUAACUUUGGAACUGCAUUUUUAACUACCGGGCUAGAGUGUGUCAGAGGGAGGUGGAAUUCCGCGUGUAGCAGUGAAAUGCGUAGAUAUGCGGAGGAACACCGAUGGCGAAGGCAGCCCCCCUGGGCCAAUACUGACGCUCAUGCACGAAAGCGUGGGGAGCAAACAGGAUUAGAUACCCUGGUAGUCCACGCCCUAAACGAUGUCAACUGGGUUGUUGGGGAAAUUAGUUUUCUCAGUAACGAAGCUAACGCGUGAAG